rnacentral:rRNA from 1 species
UACAGAGGUCCCAAGCGUUGUUCGGAUUCACUGGGCGUAAAGGGUGCGCAGGUGGGCUGGUAAGUUCGAUGUGAAAGCCCCGGGCUUAACCCGGGAAUGGCAUUGGAUACUACUGGUCUGGAGGAUUGGAGGGGGGACUGGAAGUUCUUGGUGUAGCAGUGAAAUGCGUAGAUAUCAAGAGGAACACCAGUGGCGAAGGCGAGUCCCUGGACAAUACCUGACACUGAGCACGAAAGCCGGGGAGCAAACAGG